GUCCCUGUAGCGUAAUGCUUAUCGCUUUUGAACUUUUUAUCCAAAGGUCGUGGGUUCGAAUCCCACCUAGGAUG